rnacentral:lncRNA from 1 species
UGUCAAGCCUCAAGGAAGACGGCAUUGCCUGUGGAACAUCGUGCUUUUUACCACCUGGGCUCCAUGUUAUGCUCUUUUUUGAUGAGUUCUCUGUUUCCUUGUACAGACAGACCGGUGGACUUGACAGAUUUUUUGAAACUUGCUCACGCAGAAGAAGCUUAUAGAAGUAUUGCAACAUUAUAGAAAAGUUGAACACAAAUGUGAAAUUAUAUUCAGUUUGAAAAAAUUACUAGAUGAUAAAAAAAACUUGUAGAUUUCCUUAAUUCAGAAACCGGCCAAGUGGCUGAAAUGUUUGCUUGAUUGUGAAAUCAGUGAACUCCAUCUAGACAAGGAAAAGCCUAAAAGAUCAGUCGACCUUGAUGUUCAAGUCUUAGAUUUGAAUAGUACAUUUCUUAAGGGAACCAGUAUUCCCAAGAUUGAUAGUCAUGUCUUCCCAGUACAGUGGAUAUCAUGUAACAGUUGAUAGUCUACAUGAGGGAGCACUAGAUGACUUGGUUUCAGAAGCUUCUUACACAAUUUUUCUUUAUCCCAAUUCUGGUCAAUUGAAGAACUGCUCAGCAAUAGAGAUCUUCUGGUAGUGAGUCAGGAUAUUUUACAUUUUCCCACAGGGCUUUCUAAAGAAUCAUAGCCAAAAACCCAGACUGUCAUUCAUGCCCUUAAGAAACUAUCUGACAAACUUUCUGAAAGGACUAAAAAAUAUUUGAGAUGAUACGAGGGAUAAAAAUGUAUCUAAAUCUUCAAAAUUCUGAAUUAAUGCCUUGGGAUCUUCCUGCUACGAUGGUGUGAUUUAUGCCGAGGGGCAGUAUGACAUUGUGCCCAGUUUAUCUUGCACGUUUUUCUCCCAUGGAACACGAGUGGAAGGUCUGAAUGGUUUGUUUAAUAAACUGUGAGAGAUUUUGUUGUCUGAACAGUGGUCUGAAAAAGGGAGAUGUGUGGUGUGAAAAUGUUUGAAAACUGGCUGUGUUGGUGAAUCCCAAGGAUUGUUGGGAUACAUCUGUGACUUCUUUUCAGCAAAAUGACAGACUACAUCAAGAUUACCAUUUUACAAUUCCUGGAGGCACAUUAAAGGAAAAUGGAGACUAUCAACUCCCAGGCAUACUUUUCAUGCUUAGUCAUCUCCAUUCUUCUAAGAAAUUCACCAACUUUAUUAACUCCUGAAAUGGUAGAAAAUCUCUCUUGUGAAAUGGGCUAUGCCAUAUAGUCUAUGCAGGGAUGUAGUCAUUACCAACACAUCACUGGGACAGUGUGGCCCACUGCUUAUGCUGACAUUCCUUCUCUUCUAAUGGAGUAUUUUGCAAAUGAUUAUGGAGUGGUUAACAAAUUUGCUAGCCAUUAUCAAACUGGGCAUCUACUGUCAAUGGGUGUUUUGACUUUGUGAAUAUAAAAAUGUUUGUGCUGCAACUGCUGUGCAAGUUCAGGUCUUUUAGGUGACUCUGGAUCAAAUCUGCCCUGGGAAAGCAUUCCCUGAGGAAGUUAACCACAGACAUUCUCAAGAAAAUGCAGGGGAAAUUUUAUGGCCCACGAUGUAUUCUAAUUACUGCCUGGCAGGUGAGAUUUGACCACUUUCUAGGCAAAUAUUACUCUUACCUGUUGUCCAGGGCAGCACCUUCUAUGGUUUGGAAGGUAUGUUUUCUGUAGGACUUCUUUUAACAAGGCUACAGUGAGUGCUAUUGCAGGGAGAUGCUGGCACCUGAUAGUGGCCAAGAGCCCAUACUCAUGGUUCCAUGAGCUCAAAAGUGUUCUGUUGUUAAGUAUGUUUGGGAAAUUCUAUGUAAGCUUUGAAGGUUCACUGUUCACAUCAGAAGUCCUACAAUCACAA